CAAUUUCAAGUGUUGGAGCUCUGUUUGAUAACAAGUGGUAUGCCCCUUACAUGGAGUUAUUCCGUUGUUUGUUGUUCCUCGUUGUUGAUCUUGUGCUGUCUUCUCAAAACUUAGACACUGGAGUUCUUCCUGCUGCUUACAUCGGUGUUAUUCGUGGAAUUUUCAUUGCAUCUGCGUUUCUCUGGAUAAUUGGUUCGUUGGUGAGCAAGAGCAAGUUAAAGAUCCAGUGAACCUAGAUAGCAUUCGCUCACGGGCUAAUUGUCGUGAUUACGAUUUCCAACCAAUAGAAGGUUAUAUUAUCACCUGUUUGCUCAACAUCCUUAGAUCGUCAUGUCGGCAUAACAGGCUUCCAGAAAGUAGAUAACAGUGAACCCGAUUACACUCAUUAUUUAGGUUUUAUAUCUCACUCGGAGGUAUAAAAGAACUAACAUUAGAGAAUAUUUAUGUUUUACUACCGAAUUCGUAAUAGCAAAUGAUUUUCCACAUUCUCUACAAUACAUUACUUAACAUUUUAGCUCUGAGAAUGAGGUUUUAUUUAUCAAGCGAGAUUCCUUUGGUGAUUUUUUAAAUUUGUGUCAAUUCAAGUACAUCACGUCGGUUUUAUUGUUUUAUCUUCUCAUUUCCUUCCUUCGUCAAAAUGUAUCGAUGUUGUAAGGAGAAAUUCAGUUUUGGCUGCUUUUGAGAUUGAAAAGGUUUACAGAUUUUACGAGAAAGCGUGACUAGUACUGGUACCGGCCGCUAAAAAAAAAAAUUAGUUAGAUAGGGUAAGUAGCUUCACCGUAGCACCUUUUAACACUGAAUUGAAAGACUCCGGAGUAUUAUAGAUAAUGAGGAGAAGGAAAAGUAAUGAUGACCUUUAUUCAGGUCUGUGUUGAUACUAAAACUAACUUUGUGGCUGAUGAAGCCCUUCCAAAGGGAACCUUACCACUGUAAAAUAAAUUGAAUGAAAACCUGGUACACCUA